AUGCCCUAGGGCUAGUGGAAGACUUAAGAUGGCGGCGUUUGCACGGAGUGCAAUCACUGCGUCCUUACGGGGGUUGCAAGGCGUCCGAAGUAUGAGUCCACUAACAAAAGUCCAGAAACUCGCCAGUUAAUAGUAUUGUGUCUCUUCAAAAUAUCGGAGAAUAAUUUCUUUCUCGCUGAUCGCCUAACUUCUACUGACGAAGCUUGGAAGUUGCAGAAGGUACUGGCUCCUGUAUCACCCAGCUCUGGAGUUGAAAGAGCUCUUCAUUCCUGAGUCUCCUGUACCACUGAGAAUAGUUUCUUCAAAGGAAAGAAGCAACUGGAACACACAUAUAACACUAACCCUUCCAGCUGCAUUAUGAGGGACCAGUACCUGUCUCAAGGCAAAAUUAUGACUUAGUUCAUCCUCACCUCUGGAGGCCAGUAAAAGUGGGUUAUAGAAGAACAAAGAGGCAUCUAGAUCUUUCACUGGGUUAUUUGGAGAGAAACAUCUCCUACCGAAGGCCAGUUUAACAAGACUGGUAGAGGAGGUUAUCUUAUCUAAUUCACAGAAAUCAACACAUUGAGUCAAGAAAAAUGAAACACAGAAACACUCUAAAUAAAAGAAGAUAAGUCUUCAGAAACCAACCCUAAUGAAAUGAAGAUAUGUGAUUAACCUGACAGGAAAUUAAAAAGAGCAACCAUAAAGAGUCUCAUGGGAGCAAUGCAUGAACAAACUGAGAAUUUUCAUAAAGAAAUAAAAGAUAACAAAAAGUAUAAAGUUGAAGAAUACAAUAACUGGACUCAAAAAUUUAAUGUGUCCAACAGAAGAAUCGAUGAAGCAGAAGAAAGGGCUAUCAAACUUGUAGAUAGGCCAUUGGAAAUCAUGUAAUGUGAGGAGAAAAAAGAAAAAAGAUUGAAGAUAGUUUAAGAGACUUUUGAGACAUCCUCAAAGGGGAAUAAUUUAUACAUUACCAGAUGGAGAAGAUAGAGGGAAAAGGACAGAAAACAUAUUUGAAGAAAUAAUGUCAGAAAACCUCAUAAUUCUGGCAAGGAAAUAGAAAUUUAGAUCUAAGAAUCUCGAACAUCAGGUAUGAUGAAUCCAAGGAGACUCACACCAAACCAUAUUGUAAUUAAAUAAAGGUUAAAGACAAUCUUCAGAGCAGCAAGGGAAUAGUCUCUUCUUACAUACAAAAUGAUCCACGGAAGACUGUCAGCAGACUUCACCAGAAAACUUUCACGCCAGAAGGCAGUCGUGAUAUAUACAAAAAGCUGAAAGGAAAACACUGCCAUCCAGGAAUACUAUCUCCAACUAUCCUGUGUUUCAAAAAUUAAGGAGAAAUAUAAAGUUCUCAAACAAAAGAUGUGGGAGUUUACCACCACUAGACCUGCACGGGAAGAAUUGCUAAAGGGAGUCCUUCAAGCUGUAGUAAAAGAGUGCUAAUUAGAAACAUGAAAACGUGAGUAUAAAACUCGCUGAUAAAAGUAAGUACAUAGUUGGCUGGGUGCG
rnacentral:lncRNA from 1 species